rnacentral:rRNA from 1 species
AUGGCCGCCGCGGCGGAGAAGACGGCCGAGGAGAUCCGCCGCGAGCUCCAAGAGCUCCAGCGCCAGCACCGCGAGAUCAGCGAGCGCCUGCGCGACCCCCGUGGCCUCCGACGCGGCGCCCCCGCCACCGGCCCCGGAGGCCCCCGCCCGCUCCGCGGCUUCGCGAGACAGGCUCCGGAGCCGGUGGACCAACCGGAGCCCAAGCGCCGGCUUCUGUCUGCCGUGGUUAAAGUGGAUGGCCCUGGAACUAAUGGGGAUGAUGCGGGGGCGGAGGGGCGUGAGGAUGGACCAACUGCCGCUCAAGGUGGUGAGAGGAGGGGGGCCAGUAAUGGUGGUGGGUUCAGGAGGGAUGGGAGCCAGUGGGUGUCGAGAAGGGAGCUUGAUAAUCAGCUGCCAGAGCCUCUCCCGAGGCCGGCUCCCAAGGAAGAGGAUCAGAGCUUGGUGAGGAGGAACAAGAGAAUGCUGGGGAAGCUUCUUGUUGGCACGCUAGAGAAAUUUCAGCAAGAGAACAAAAAACUUUCCAACUCAGAGGCUUUUAUGCGUAGAUCAGAGGCUCAGCAGAAGGCUGAUCAAAAGGCUCGUGAGGACAGUGAAAGAUUGCGGCAGCAAGAGCGGGAGCAAGCAGCUGAGAAGCGUAGGCGUGAUAUGACGCUUCGUGCUCGAGUAGCUGCUAAGGCAGAAGAAAAGAGGUUGGAGCUAUUGUACAUUCAGUGGUCUGAGCAUCACAAAAAGCUGUCCAGUUUCUUAAGGACAAAAGCUGAACCAGCUAUUUAUUACAUGCCGGCUAAACCAAUAGUUGAUGAUCCGGUUAUUGUUGAGCAAAACAAGGAAAAGGUAUUUGAAGAAUGGAAAUCUGUGCGCAGAACGGAGCUGACCCAGUUUCAAAAGCAAGUUGAGGAGCAGUAUCUGUCUAAUGUUGAGAGUCAGCUCGAAAGAAUUCAGAAUGCCCGGAAUGCUCGGAGGGGGAACGUGCCUGCUAACAUGCAGGAAAUGGACAAGGAGUUGGACACGCACAGGGCGGAGCAUGGCCCAAAGGCUCGGAGGAUACCCGACGGUGGCAAUGACGAGGAUGAUGAUGUGGAUGUGGACGACAUGGCCGCGGAAGACGACCUGAUGGAUGAAGUGCUCGGCGUUAAUGAGGCGAUCAAUGAGGACCCGACCAAGCCAUCUGAAGAGGCUACUGAUGUUGCUCCUGUACCGCAGGAGGCACAAUAG